GACCCACUAGCUCAGUCGGCAGAGCACCUGCCUUUUAAGCAGGUUGUCCGCGGUUCGAAUCCGCGGUGGGUCACCA
rnacentral:tRNA from 1 species